GAUGAACGCUGGCGGCGUGCCUAAUACAUGCAAGUCGAGCGAACAGAUAAGGAGCUUGCUCCUUUGACGUUAGCGGCGGACGGGUGAGUAACACGUGGGUAACCUACCUAUAAGACUGGGAUAACUUCGGGAAACCGGAGCUAAUACCGGAUAACAUUUGGAACCGCAUGGUUCUAAAGUGAAAGAUGGUUUUGCUAUCACUUAUAGAUGGACCCGCGCCGUAUUAGCUAGUUGGUAAGGUAACGGCUUACCAAGGCGACGAUACGUAGCCGACCUGAGAGGGUGCUCGGCCACACUGGAACUGAGACACGGUCCAGACUCCUACGGGAGGCAGCAGUAGGGAAUCUUCCGCAAUGGGCGAAAGCCUGACGGAGCAACGCCGCGUGAGUGAUGAAGGGUUUCGGCUCGUAAAACUCUGUUAUUAGGGAAGAACAAAUGUGUAAGUAACUGUGCACGUCCUGACGGUACCUAAUCAGAAAGCCACGGCUAACUACGUGC
rnacentral:rRNA from 1 species